UACGAAGGGUUCAAGCGUUACUCGGAAUCACUGGGCGUAAAGCGUGCGUAGGCGGUUCGUUAAGUCUGUUGUGAAAGCCCUGGGCUCAACCUGGGAACUGCAGUGGAUACUGGCGAGCUAGAGUACGGUAGAGGAAGGUGGAAUUCCCGGUGUAGCGGUGAAAUGCGUAGAGAUCGGGAGGAACACCAGUGGCGAAGGCGGCCUUCUGGACCAGUACUGACGCUGGGGCACGAAAGCGUGGGGAGCAAACAGG
rnacentral:rRNA from 1 species